rnacentral:rRNA from 1 species
AUUGAACGCUGGCGGCAGGCUUAACACAUGCAAGUCGAAUGAGUGGCGGACGGGUGAGUAAUGCUUGGGAAUCUGGCUUAUGGAGGGGGAUAACGACGGGAAACUGUCGCUAAUACCGCGUACCAUAGGAUGAGCCCAAGUGGGAUUAGGUAGUUGGUGGGGUAAUGGCCUACCAAGCCGACGAUCUCUAGCUGGUCUGAGAGGAUGACCAGCCACAACAGGACUGAGACACGGCCCGUACUCCUGCGGGAGGCAGCAGUGGUGAAUAUUGCGCAAUGGGGGCAACCUGACGCAGCCAUGCCGCGUGAAUGACGAAGGCCUUCGGGUUGUAAAGGUCUUUCAGUGACGAGGCAUUGAUCACAGAAGUAGCACCGGCUAACUCCGUACCAGCAGCCGCGGUAAUAC